rfam:Calocera viscosa TTFC12733 unplaced genomic scaffold CALVIscaffold_61, whole genome shotgun sequence.
GGCAAGAUGGUCGAGUUGGUCUAAGACGUGGGAUUCAAGAACUCUGUUCUUACCUCCUCGGAGGCAUGAAAUUCCCCAUCUCGUAAGAGGCAGGGGUUCGAAUCCCCUUCUUGUCA